UGGGGGAUAUUGCACAAUGGGCGAAAGCCUGAUGCAGCGACGCCGCGUGGGGGAUGAAGGCCUUCGGGUUGUAAACUUCUUUUGCUCUGAACAAGGCGCACCAUGGGGUGUGUUGAGUGUAGGGGUUGAUUAGCGCCGGCUAACUACGUGCCAGCAGCCGCGGUAAUACGUAGGGCGCGAGCGUUGUCCGGAAUUAUUGGGCGUAAAGGGCUUGUAGGUGGCUGGUUGCGUCUGUCGUGAAAGCUCAUGGCUUAACUGUGGGUUUGCGGUGGGUACGGGCUGGCUUGAGUGCAGUAGGGGAGGCUGGAAUUCCUGGUGUAGCGGUGGAAUGCGCAGAUAUCAGGAGGAAUACCGGUGGCGAAGGCGGGGCUCUGGGCUGUUACUGACACUGAGGAGCGAAAGCAUGGGGAGCGAACAGG
rnacentral:rRNA from 1 species